UACGUAGGGUGCAAGCGUUGUCCGGAAUUAUUGGGCGUAAAGAGCUCGUAGGCGGUUUGUCGCGUCUGCUGUGAAAACCCGAGGCUCAACCUCGGGCCUGCAGUGGGUACGGGCAGACUAGAGUGCGGUAGGGGAGAUUGGAAUUCCUGGUGUAGCGGUGAAAUGCGCAGAUAUCGGGAAGAACACCCGUGGCGAAGGCGGCACUCUGGGACGGUACUGACGCUGAGACGCGAAAGCGUGGGGAGCGAACAGG
rnacentral:rRNA from 1 species